UACGUAGGGGGCAAGCGUUAUCCGGAUUUACUGGGCGUAAAGGGGGCGCAGACGGCGAUGCAAGCCAGGAGUGAAAGCCCGGGGCCCAACCCCGGGACUGCUCUUGGAACUGCGUGGCUGGAGUGCAGGAGGGGCAGGCGGAAUUCCUGGUGUAGCGGUGAAAUGCGUAGAUAUUAGGAGGAACACCAGUGGCGAAGGCGGCCUGCUGGACUGCAACUGACGUUGAGGCUCGAAGGCGUGGGGAGCAAACAGG
rnacentral:rRNA from 1 species